AUUGAACGCUGGCGGCAUGCUUUACACAUGCAAGUCGAACGGUAGACCCUUUCGGGGGUUGAGAGUGGCGAACGGGUGAGUAAUGCAUCGGAACGUGCCUAGUCGUGGGGGAUAACGUAGCGAAAGUUACGCUAAUACCGCAUACGCACUGAGGGGGAAAGCGGGGGACCGUAAGGCCUCGCGCGAUUGGAGCGGCCGAUGUCGGAUUAGCUAGUUGGUGAGGUAAAGGCUCACCAAGGCGACGAUCCGUAGCGGGUCUGAGAGGAUGAUCCGCCACACUGGGACUGAGACACGGCCCAGACUCCUACGGGAGGCAGCAGUGGGGAAUUUUGGACAAUGGGCGCAAGCCUGAUCCAGCCAUGCCGCGUGCGGGAAGAAGGCC
rnacentral:rRNA from 1 species